rnacentral:tRNA from 1 species
GGAGUUGUGGCUCAGUGGCAGAGCGCCUGCCUUGCACAUGUGAGGCACUGAGUUCGAUCCUCAGCACCA